rnacentral:rRNA from 1 species
GACGUAGGGUCCAAGCGUUGUCCGGAUUUACUGGGCGUAAAGAGCGCGUAGGCGGUCGUUCAAGUCGCGUGUGAAAGCCCCCGGCUCAACUGGGGAGGGUCACGCGAUACUGAUCGACUCGAAGGCAGGAGAGGGUAGUGGAAUUCCCGGUGUAGUGGUGAAAUGCGUAGAUAUCGGGAGGAACACCAGUGGCGAAGGCGACUACCUGGCCUGUUCUUGACGCUGAGGCGCGAAAGCUAGGGGAGCAAACGGG